rnacentral:rRNA from 1 species
CAGAGGUGCCAAGCGUUAGGCGGAAUCACUGGGCUUAAAGCGUGUGUAGGCGGAUUUGUAAGUACCUUGUGAAAUCCCACGGCUUAACCGUGGAACUGCUCGGUAUACUGCGAAUCUUGGGUCAUCUAGGGGCGAGCGGAACAAGUGGUGGAGCGGUGAAAUGCGUAGAUAUCACUUGGAACGCCAAUGGUGAAAACAGCUCGCUGGGGAUGCACCGACGCUGAGACACGAAAGCCAGGGGAGCGAACGGGAUUAGAUACCCCGGUAGUCCUGGCUGUAAACGAUGUCCACUAGAUUGCAGCGGCUCUGACGCCGUUGCGGUCGAAGCAAAAGUGCUAAGUGGACCGCCUGGGAAGUACGGUCGCAAGGCUA